AAGGUUUAGCUCUCACACUAAGUGGGAUUGACUAUAUGAAUCCUAAAAGGGAACCGCACGGGAUUUGUUAACAAAUCCUCAAUCUGGGAUUAAUGAAAACCGCAUCCCUGCCUUAGAUUUCGCAACAUGCGGGUGUCACACAACACCAAAGUUACCCACGCGCAUAUUUUUUAAACACAAGCUGCACUUGUCGAAUUCGAGUGUCUGUUUGGUUUGGCUUCCGCAACACAUUUUGUACUACGAGAAUUAUCACCUGUUUGGCGAACAAAAUGUUUUCGUUAUCGGAAGCUAAAAUGAUUUUCUGAGCACCAAAGAUGAAAGCUCAAAUUUGAAGCUUAUUCUUCUGUUGUUGUGGCGCAAAGUUAUUGAGCGAAUCUCAAUUCUAAACACUAUUAGUGCUUCUUUAGAUACCUCUACUUAAACAAAAAAAUCUAAAAAAGGUUCAUCCAGAUCAAAUCGGCCCUAGCUGUAGGGUUAACAAAUAUAAAUUGUCUCCCAUGAUAAUCACACAUAACUCACGGAUGUGAUCUGAAGUUUGAGUUAUUUUAGUGGUUUUGAUUUAGUGAUUAUCAACUCAAUGAUUUAGGUGGAUUCGUGGUGUUGUGUACAAAUAGUUUAAUCCCCUUACCCAACAUUUCCAACUUCUCAUUCCCUAAUAUAAAUCAAAUAGGAGGGACUAUUUCCAAAAUUAGUAUCAUCUCGCAACAUAUUCUCACGCAAAAAGCAGAAAUUUUGAUUCAUCGGAGACUCUUCUAAUCGUAAAAGAGCCCAAAUUUCAAAAUACCAAUUACCACCGAAUCGCAACUAAUUACCAGAAAAAUCGAAAAAAAAAGGAAAGAAAAGGCGAUUAAGGAAAGGAUAGAACCCUAGAAGCACUGCAGCGAAAAGCCGACGAAGCAGCGGAUAAAGCACGGACAUUCGAAGGGGAUUCGCGUCCUUCGAUCGUAACCCUAAUUGGGCACGGAUUGCAACACGGGAUCGAGGGAUUCGAUGCGGGAAAAGACGAGGGUUUGAUCGCAAUCUCCAUUUAUGCGAGAAGAAGCUCCUUCGCCCCCCUUUCUAAAGCUCCGAUUUUUAUCGCUAAUGAGUUUGGGAAUGUGUCGCCCCACUAAAAACGAUUCUUUGUCGCCUUUGGGCGUAUCGCCCUUAAUAAUUAAAAAACGACUAUUAAUUAACGUCCAUUCGUACCAACGCUUUUUAAUCUAAUUGGACUAAAAUAACCUCGAGCUCCAAAUUCCCCAAAUCCUAAUAUAUAAUUAUUAAAUAAAAUAAAAGUAAUUAAAACGUGAAUAAGUUUAUUCCUUUGUUUUUAAUAUUAAAAAUUUAAAAUACUCCUCCUGUUUUGGUAUUUUCUCACUUUAAUACCCUAUAAAGUGCAUCAAUUUAAUAACCUUAUACUUUCUUUUUUUUUCCAUCAGCUUUUCCGUUAAUAUUUUAUUAAAUUAUAUAUAAAAAAAACUUCAAAUACCCCACCUAGACUUAUCGAAUAUUCAUUUUAAUAUUUUUUAGUUUUAACUUUGUCACUGAUUUAACAAAAAAAAAUUAGUGGAGGGGUUAAUAAAAAAAAGAUAAAUAAAAUUACGUGAUACUAAGUUGAUACACUUUAAAUCACAUAGUACUAAAAUAAAAAAAUACGAAACACAUGAAUGGUAUUCGAAGUUUUCCUAAAAUUUAAACAUAGUGUCUAAAUUUUUUGAUAAGAGAGUGCGAGAUUUACAUGCUGCUUUUUGAGUAUAUGAGUAGUAUUUUUCUUUUUGUUGAAUAUAUUAAAUUAAACAUGACACAAUAAUAGAAAAAUUUUGCAAUAAAAUAAAUUGAAAUGAUAGAAAGUAUAUAUAUUUAUAUAUUUCUUAAGGUAAAAUAUGAUGAAAUUAAUUUCAAAUUUGACUAAUGCAAAUCAAUACCAUUUCUAGAGUUUUCAUGCGCACGGACAACGGACAAAAGUUACGAAACAAAUAUAAAUGUUUCUCGUUGUUGGACGCAUGCAUCGACUUAAGUUACAAAAAACCAUGUCUCAAACAUAAUAAUUUCUACACAUAAACACUGUUUGUGAAUUUAAUUUUCGUAAUUUAGCAUACACUAUAAACUUAUUUGCACGGUAUUCAUAUAUAUAUUUAUGUAUCCUGCUGAAUUAAAUUGAUUAGUGAGUGAGUGAGUGAUUGUGAAAACAUAUAUUGGCUUCAACUUUAUUCAAAAUUCUUUUUCAUGAUGUAUAAUCACUUGUAUAAAAAGUAUUCUUAAAAAUAAUAAUUUAACUACUCUUUUUUUUUUCUCCUUGUAUUUAAUAUUCCUCAUCUUGGCUCUACUAGAAAACAAAGAAUCCUUCGUAAAUUUGGGAAAUUUCGUGGAAAUCUCGUUCUACUGAACGGUGGAUUUAACGUUUAAAAAAUAAGAAGCGUAUGUAACAUCACGUGUGGAACAUUAUCAUCUACUAUUCCCAGUACUUGCUCCAUUUACACAGGAAUUGUGUUAGGAUUUGUUGUUCCAUCACAAACCUCGCAACACCAGUUUCCUCUUAUAAGAAUCCAACAAAUUUAAUCUCCUACAUUGAUUCCCCCCCUUUUGUGCAUGCAUGCAUGCAUCCAGUGCAUUUUUCGCUAUAUUUUUAUUUUCUAAAAAAAAAAUUUAUUACAAAAAUUUCAGAAUCAAAAUCUAAUUUAUUAUAUAUUGUUUAUAAGAGUAAAAAAGAGCUAGGAAUCAAAAGUUAGUUAUAAAUCCUGAGCAAGUAUCAUUGCUUCAAAGUUAGCUAUGUAUAUUCAUUGGAUUCAUACUAGAUUUUGAUUGUAAAAUAAAAUUAUAAAUUAAUAAUUAAGUGCGGUGCAUGAGAAGUAUGAAUGCAUGAGGUGCAGGGAAUAAUUUCUUUGCUUGAUCAAAAAUUAUUUCAAGAGUGUUCUCCCUAUAAGGCACGUGAAUGAUCAGCUUACAUAACCUCCUUGCUCUUACUUGCCUUUCUAUAUAAUGAUUUACCGUGCCUUUUUACUGUUUUAUAUUUUCACAUUUUGAGUAAAUCUUCUUAAUUUUUGUGUUCUUUUCUGCAUAAAAGUUUAUGUAAAAGUAUAUGAAAUUUAUCUAAAUUAUGAUUCAUUUUGAUCUAAAGCAUAAAUUAUUUAUUUUUUUUCAAUCCAUUUAAUUUAAGCAAAAUAAUUACCCUUACACCUUAAAAUUUGCAUGAAUCUGGCCUUUAUUUUUACAAUUUGAUUGGUAUGCUUUAUAUAAUUCAUACGACUAUAAUUUCGUUAGAAUAAAUAAUGAACUUAAACUAUCAGAUCGUUUAAAAUCAAAUAAACUAAAAAAUUAAGCCUAAAAUCAAAAUUUUUUAAAACAAUAGUUGAAUAUAUAAUCAAACCAGUUUAAUUAAUUGUUCAAGUAAUUAAGCUCCAUACAUAUUUUUCUAUUCUUCUGAUAUAUAUAUAUAUAUAUAUAUAUAUAUAUAUAUAUAUAUCUUUAGAAUCCAAAGUCACUGGCCCUAAAAAAACCCAACAACUUUGGAGUUAUAAUCCCCCUACCCCUUCUUUUUCACCCCAUUCAUUAUUCCUCCCAUUCUCAUGCAUUCUCCCACUACAAAGAUCACCUGAAUCUUAUUUAUUUUCUUUCUUUCUUCUUCUUCUUCUUCUUCUUCUUCUUCUUGUUCUACUACUUCUAAAGCCCACAUUAUAUUUUCGAUCUAUUUUUUCUCAUCCUUGUGGAUCCAAAGGAGACGGGGCUUGAUUAGCACCACAAACACAAACGAAUAUCGAUCGAUAAAUUAACCUCUCUACCUAUCUAGCUAGCUAGCCACAUACAUACUCUUUGCUCUCAUUCUCCAUCCUACAAAGUUGGUUUCAAGCUAGGGUGGUGGCGCGUCUCUAUAUAUUGAUAAAAAUCUCUUAUAGAUCGAGUUUACACUCGUAGCGAGCUAGUAAUAUAUAUCUAAUAAACAUCAUUAAUGGCUUUUGUGCUCUCGGAGAACUUCAAGGCCUUCAUAAACACUUGCUUUCUCCUCCUCCUAUGCUUCUUCCUCACGUCGCACAUUCGCUCUCCCACCACCUUCAUCAACGGCCUCCAAAGUACUCCCAAGGGGAUCAACUGCGUCGGCUUCCACAAGCUCAGGGACCAGCACGCGAAGUGCCUCUUCCUAAAGACCCAGACCCCGUGCGUGUCGCAGGGCUACGUGAACUACCUCCGCAUAUUCUACUGCUUGUGCGGCAGGUACCCGCCGCUCGGUUACACCCUCCUGGCCUCGUGGCUCCUGGUGCUCUUCUACCUGCUGGGCAACACGGCCUCGCAGUACUUCUGCUCGUCGGUGGAGAGCCUGUCGCGGGUGCUCAACCUGUCGCCCACGAUCGCGGGGGUCACGCUGCUGUCGCUGGGGAACGGCUCGCCCGACGUGUUCGCCAGCAUCGUGUCGUUCCGGUCGGGGUCCGGGGAGGUGGGGCUGAGCAGCGUGCUGGGGGGCGCGUUCUUCGUGUCGUGCGUGGUGGUGGGGAUCAUCAACAUCUGCGGCAGCUCGCUGCCGCACGCCGUGCGCAUCGACCGCUCGAGCUUCGUCCGCGACGUCUGCUUCUUCGUCGUCGUGCUCUCCUCCCUCCUCGCCAUCCUCGUCGUCCGCCGGAUCACCAUCUGGGGCGCCAUGGCCUUCACCUCGCUCUACUUCGUCUACGUCUCCAUCGUCUCCGCCACGCACUUCUGCCGCGAGAAGUACGAGGACCUCGUCGUGCCCAUCAUCAAAGAGCUCGACGAGCCUACGUCGGCAGCGGCGGCAGAAAAAGAAGCAGCGGAAGGUUCCGAAGCCAAAGCAGAUCACGAAGAUUACGAUCAGGAGGGAUCGUCGUCAUCGUCACCGCCAUCGUCGUCGUCGUCGUCGUCGUCGUCAUCGUCGAGCAGGUACGCAAGGCUCAGGAGGAGAGCGUCGCGGUCGCUGAGAUGGGUGCUCUACGCCAUCGACAUGCCGCUCUACCUGCCGCGGAGGCUGACGAUCCCGGACGUCUCCGAGGAGCGGUGGUCGAGGCCGUACGCCGUGGCGUCGGCGACGCUGGCGCCGAUCUUGAUCGCGACGUUCUGGAACUCGAAGAGAGGGGUGCUGGGCUCGAAGGAGGGCCUGACGAUAUACCUCUACGCGGGCCUUAUUGGGCUCAUACUGGGCCUGUUCGCGCUCCACACCACGAUGAAAAAUAGCCCGCCCAAAAAGGUGCUGUUCCCGUGGCUCGCAGGGGGGUUCCUGAUGAGCGUGCUGUGGACGUACAUCAUCGCGGAGGAGUUGGUGGGGCUGCUGGUCUCGCUCGGGUACAUCUUCGGGAUAAGCCCCUCGAUUUUGGGGUUGACCGUAUUGGCGUGGGGGAACUCGAUCGGGGACCUGAUUGCGAAUGUGGCGAUGGCGAUGAACGGGGGCCAGGAUGGGGCCCAGAUCGCCAUAUCCGGGUGCUACGCGGGGCCCAUAUUCAACACCCUGGCGGGGCUCGGGCUCUCGCUCGUGGUGUCGUCUUGGGCCGUGCACCCGGAGCCGUUCGUGGUCCCGGUGGGCCCGGCCCUGUUCGAGAUACUGGGCUUCAUGAUAGGCGGCCUUUUGUGGGCCCUGGUGAUACUCCCGAGGAAGGACAUGAGGCUGGACCGGGUGUUAGGGAUAGGGUUGCUCGCCAUUUACUUGUGCUUCCUCUCCCUCAGGCUCUCGCAGAGCCUAGGGUUGGUGCAAGUUUGAAUUAGUUAAAUUAAAUUAAAUUAAUUAACUAAUCAAUUAAUUAAUGGGUAGUACCAUUAAUUAAUUAUUAGUUUUUUUUGUUCCCCUUCUUUUUCCCCCCCUUUUUUUUCUUUUUUGGGUUAUUAUGUUGGUUGUAUUAUUUGCUUCUUUUUUUUUUUGGGUUUUAAUUCUUCUUCUUUUUUUUUUUUCCUUUUUUUCCCCCCCUUUUAUGGAGCAAAUAUUGUGUUGGUGGUAAGAGGUUUUAUGGGUUAUUAUUAAUUAGUUGAGAGGAGUGGGGUGGAGGGGUUUUGUAUGCGAGCCUCUUGUUGAUGUAUAAAGUAGCUAUGAAUAAGUACUAGAUAUUUGCUCUUCAUUAAUUUUGUGUUUAUGUUACCACAGAAUUAAUUGCACUUGGUUAAUUAGAUAUUCUUAUAAUUGAAGUGGUUUGACAUUAAAUAACUAUUUUUUUCUUUGAGAAUGAUGAUGAAAUUGCUAUGAGAUUAUAAUAAAAAAGUUUCCAAAUAUGUAUAAACUAAUUUAAAGUUUCAAAAUAUAUAUAAACUAAUUUUUCAUACUUGCGGUGGCUAUUUGGCCAGAAUAGUAUCGGUAGCGCAAAAGCCUCUGUGCUACCAAAUUAUUUUUGAUGACGAAACAUCUGUGUUUUAGAAAGUUAUUUUUAUAAUUUUAAAGUCUCCACGCUACCAAAUUAUUUUUUAUGAUAAAACAUCCGUGUUUUAAAAAGUUAUUUUUAUAAUUUUUUGCUAUCGUUUACGUUUAAAAUGAAUAGUCUCUAUAUAAAUAUUUAAAAAUUUAUAGCAAUAAUAAUAAAGGACUUGGAGUUUUAGAUCAGAUAUAUUGUCCUUUCUCUGUAGAGUGUUGAAUAUUAUAUCUAAAAACUUCAAUGAAUCUUUAAUUUAUUUUCAAGAAAUUUAGAAAAUCUAAUUGCAGAAGCUACAAACUUGUAUGAAACAUUUUCCAUGCAGUUAUCGUAAAUGGCAUAAAAAACAUGCACAGUACCUACUUAGAAAACUUAUGCACUAGUGACAUAAUUCGCAAUAAUAAUAAUAAUAAUAAACACAAUAGGUCGCAUCUUUAUUACGUGAUAUAAAUUCCUUUUAGAGAGCAUAACAGAGUGAUAUCAUACUAUUUCCAAUGACACGGAAUAUUAUACAAAAUAUAGGUUAUUUUUGAAUAUUGAGUAUUUUAUUUGAUAUAUAUAUAUAGAGAGAGAAAGAAUAAAGCUACGAUGCUAUCGAAAGCACAGAGGAUCCGGUGCUUUUGAUUUUUUGGCCCUUAGAUCAUUUCUAAUCUUUGGAUUAAUACUAUUACUAUGUGGGGAUCACUCAACCCUAAGAAUCCUACUCAACUCUGGGGGGACCGCAAUUAUCUCAACCGUAUAAUUUUUAAUCCAAUGGUCAAAAAGUUGUAAGCAUCAGAUCCUCUAUGCUCCCGACAACAUAGUAGCUCUACACGAUAUAUAUAUAUAUAUAUAUAUAUAUNUUCAAGAAUCAGUAUGAAUCAUUAGGUUUACCAAACUAUCUCAAUAAAAAAUCAAUAAGGAGCUUCUCAACAAAAUCACACUUAUUUAUAUAGAUAGUGUAACUCAGCUGUAAAAUUUUAGUUGGAUUUUUAAUGAUUUAAAACUUUACGGACUUUCUGGGUAGUCCAAUAUUUCAUGGGUCUUGUUAUAAGGAUUAGUCCCAUAUUAAAAACUAAAACUAUGUUGUUGCCAUAUAUAUAUGUUGGCUUAAAUGGGCCAGCAUCCUGCCAUGUGGCGGGAGGCUAUGUGGGCCGAGUCAUGUUCGAAAUGACGUGAGGCUGGGUUGGGCCGAGUCAUAUUCGAAGUGGCGUGAGGCCAGCCAGGUGGGCCGAGUCACAAUCGAGACCCGUGGGCGCUGUUUCUGUACGCUUUAAGUGAAUUGGUUGCGUAUUUCUAAUAGCUCAAGCUUUUGGGAUUAAUGGUUAGCGCCAACGAUCCGACAAAAUAGAGUCCGGUUACUAUACUCUUAUGAGUACGAUCGCCUUCGUACUCAUAAAUUGUUUUUGAUUAUAGAGCUUCAAUCAACGAUCUAUACCGUUAAAUAUUAUCUAGAGCAUUUAAAACUUCUAAACAUUAAAUUUUAUAAUUUUUCGAUAUCAUUUACCUUACGAUCAAAAGCUCACAAAAUUGACAUUUUUCACAUCUAGUAUGGGAUAUUUGCUAGUUAAACGGUGUAAAAGAAUUGGAAUAGGUUGAAAUUUUGAUAGAAAAUUUUAUUCACUACCUAAAUAAAGAUCAAUAACUUUGAUCUUAAAUUAAAGUAUCCGAUCAUCCAUUUUUAGGAUGUCGUUCGAUUUUAACCGUUCAUUUUAUACCCACUUGAUGAACUUUAUAAUGAUUUUGAAAAAUUACGAAAUUUAUUUUCUAGAAGUUUCAAAUACUCUAGAUCAUAUUUAACGGUGUGGAUCGUCAAUUCGAAAAUUCCAACAUCGAAACCAACUUAUGAGCACAAAGGGCUCUAUAUUCAUAGGAGUAUAAUAGCCCUACUCUCUCUCUCUCUCUCUCUCUCUCUAUAUAUAUAUAUAUAUAUAGAGAGAGAGAGAGAGAGAGAGAGAGUAGGGCUAUUAUACUCCUAUGAAUAUAGAGCCCUUUGUGCUCAUAAGUUGGUUUCGAUGUUGGAAUUUUCGAAUUGACGAUCCACACCGUUAAAUAUGAUCNCUCUCUCUCUCUCUCUCUCUCUCUCUCUCUCUCUCUCUCUCUCUCUCUCUCUCUCUAUAUAUAUAUAUAUAUAUAUAUAUAUAGGCUAGGGCUACUAUACUCUUAUGAGUAUAGAGCUCUUAAUACUCAUAAGUUGGUUUCAAUGGUUGAGCUUCCGAAUCAACGAUCCACUCCGUUAAAUAUGAUCUAUUAUAUUUGAAACUUUUAGAAAAUAAAUUUCGUAAUUUUUCGCAAUAAUAAUAAAGUUCAUCGAGCGGAUAUAAAUUGAACGGUCAAAAUCAAACGGCGUCAUAAAAAUGGAUGAUCGGAUCCUUCAAUUUAAGAUCGGAGUUAUUAAUCUUUAUCUAUGUAGUGAAUAGAAUUUUACACCAAAAAUUCAACCGAUUUUAAUUUUUUUGCAUCAUUAAACUAGCAAAUAUCUUAUACCGGUCNCCGUUAAAAAUUGUUAAUUUUGUAACUUUUUGAUCGUAAGGUAAAUGAUAUCGAAAAAUUAUAAAAUUUGAUUUCUAUACGUUUUAAGUACUCUAGAUAACGUUUAACGGUUUGGAUCGUCGAUUCGGAAGUUCUAUCAUCGAAAAUGAUUUAUGAGUACGAGAACGAUCGUACUCAUAAGAGUAUAACAGCCAGAGAGUCCGGCUACUUUGAUCAUAAGGUAAAUGAUGUCGAAAAAUUAUAAAAUUUGAUUUCUAAACGUUUUAAGUACUCUAGAUAACGUUUAACGGUGUGGAUCGUCGACUCGAAAGCUCUAUCAUCGAAAACAACUUAUGAGUACGAGGGUGAUCGUACUCAUAAGAGUAUAGUAGCCGGACUCCUAUUUCGUAUUAUUGUGUGGUGAAUAUAAUAUCAACAAAGUAUUUUUGCUAUUUGUUAAGAUAAAUUCUGGGCCAUUUUUUAUUAUAAAAUUGAUCUUUUGAAUAGUAUUGUCUCAAAACUAGUUCUAAACUCUCUUCACCAUGUACGCGACCAGGAGCGUUUAAACGAAUAUAUAGUAAAUCAUUUCUUACUUAUUAAUUGCUCUUUUGUGUAAUACUUACUACUUAGGAGAUUAAAAAAGUAUAAAUUAAUUUUGGCAAGAUGUAAUAUACGUGUUCUGUGUAACAUUAUUUAACAGNUCUCUCUCUCUCUCUCUCUCUCUCUCUCUCUCUCUCUCACUGUACUCUAUGAGUACGAUCGCUCAUAAGUCAUUUUCGAUGAUAGAGCUUGCAAAUCGACGAUCCACACCGUUAAACAUUAUCUAGAAUAUUUAAAACGUAUAGAAAUCAAAUUUCAUAAUUUUUCGAUAUCAUUUACCUUACGCUCAAAUGCUCACAAAAUUGAUAAUUUUUAACGGCCGGCAUAGGAUAUUUGCUAAUUUAAUGGUGUAAAAGAAUUGCAAUAUGUUGAAUUUUUGAUAGAAAAUUAUAUUCACUACUUAGAUAAAAAUCAAUAACUCUGAUCUUAAAUUGAAGGAUCCGAUCAUCCAUUUUUAGGACGUCGUUUGAUUUUGACCGUUCAUUUUAUGCCCGCUUGAUGGACUUUAUUAUGAUUUCGAAAAAUUACAAUUUUAAAAGUUUUAUAUACUUUAGAUCAUAUUUAACGGAGUGGAUCGUCGAUUCAAAGGUCCCAUCAUCGAAAAUAAUUUAUGAGUACAAAUAGCUCUAUACUCAUAAGAGUAUAGUAGCCCUAGCCAUAUAUAUAUAUAUAUAUAUAUAUAUAUAUUAUUCAUGUAUUUAAAAGAUAAAUUAUUUCUUAGGUAUAAAUAUACUAUCUUAAUCAUGAAUAGUAAAACUUUUUAAGAAGUAAAUUAAUCAAACCAUUUGCUCUCGAUUUCUGCUUGAACAGAAGUGCUAAAAUUUUACACUAAAAAUGUGUGCUAUUAAAUGUAUAAACAAAAACAGUGUCAAAUCAAAAUGCACUAAAAUAAGAGAUAGUUUAUGUAAUACUUACACUAUAUCAUCAAUAACCAACCAAUUAUAUCUCUUUAUUUUUAAAAAAUAUAAUAAAAAUAAUUUUCAAUUAACUAUGAUGGGACGUGUGAACUCAAGAAGACAAUAUGAUUGGUUGAGAACGCCAUGUCAAUAAUAUAACUGAUGUAUUUUAGACUUUUUUGUAAAAUAGACUUUUAGCAUUUGACAGUAUCUUUGCUUCUCAUUGGGGAUAAGAAGAGCUUUACCCCACAACAAUGUAACAUGUUUUUUUAUUUUUUACAGAUCUCAAAAAUUAAAUUUGUGACUUUAAAAAAGUCAUAUAGAUUGGCAUUUAUUUCGGUUAAUUUUAUACAGGUCCCUAUAAAUAUAUUUAAUUGCAAAUAUAUUCCUACAAAGUUUAACUUUCAUAUGUUGUUUAUGUAAAAGUCCUAAUUUUUUCAAAUAUAUUUCUACUAUUCAGAUUCAUUAGAAAAAAUUAAUUAACUAUAGGUAAAAUAGUUAACCCUAAUUAGUUAAUGAAGUGAAUUGUCCUUUUUAUCCCUCUUUCAUUCUCUAAUUUUUUAAAGGACAUAUUUAUAAUGACAAAAAUAUCAUUUCACUUGUAAAAUAGACAGUAAUUUAACGAUAACAAAUCAGAAAUAUAUAUUUAAAAAUAUCAGGAGUUCAAAGGAACAAUAUAUAAAAAUUAAAAUUUAUAAAAAUAUAUUUAUAAUUUGUUAUAUUUGGAGGAAGCUAUAUAAGAUUAAUUUAAAUUAUCCAUACCAGUGAGUUCGGAGCAACUCAUAAGUUUCACUCUUCCCAAGAGCCUGCGAAACUAAUAAUUAAUUUUCACGCUUCCCAAAAGCCUGAGAAACUCACAAUUUUUUACGCUUCCCAAGAGCCCUAAAGUAAAUAGGCUCUUGUAACUCAAACUUAUUACCAAGCGGGCGCUCCCUCGGCGAAUAUAUAUAUAUAUAAUAUAUAUAUUUGGAAUAAUUAUUUAUAUGCCUUUUAAAAUUUUAAAAAUAUCUUAUUAAUUUUUACUUUCUUUUCUUUUCAAUAUACUUAUUAUAUAUGUUCAUUCGUUAUUUCAAAAUAUUCUUUGAGUUAAACACGAGUUAAAUAUUAAAUAUCUAUCAUAGUUAAAAAAAAUUAAAAUGUCAUUUUUAUUCUUAACUUCAGGGCAAAUAAAAAAUAUUGUUGAUGUAGAAAGAUAUAUUUGAAAAGAUGAAAAAGUAAAAUAUUUUUUGUGUCCCUAACUUAAGAACAAAUAAAAAAGUCAGUGCUGAUAAAAGAAUAUAUUUAAAAGAGUAAAACAGUAAUUUCAUAAAAAUAACAAACUUCAUUAACAAUUUUAAUUUAUUAGGAGUAUAUUUAAAAUAUAUUGGAACGUAAAAAAAAUAUUUUUAAUAUUAGUAUUUUAAAAAAUAAAUUAAAAGUUGAAAAUUUUUUAAGAGUACCUAAGCAAUCGCCCGUGUAUAUUUUGGCCUGCGAACUGAGGUAAGAAUCUUGCGUCGCGGCUUUUUGUUUUUUUGUGUUGCAUUUUCGUCCGUGAAGGGUAUCUCACCGACCGGGCCCCCCAAAUCAUAAUCAUGUCAACAUUCUCCGCAGCGUCCCGACCGUCCCUGGUGCAAGUGGCAAAGGGCUUGAUAGCUAGUACCCGAGACCCGAAUUCGAAUCCUAGUUGAUUCAUAUUUCUAGCUAAGUUUAUUUCUAAAUGAAAUAAACGAAGCGGGUAGCGUGCUAUCUAUCUCUCAAAAAAAAAAAAAAAACAUUCUCCGCAGCGUGUUUGGAGGGCCAAUGUCAACAUCCUCCUUUUUUUCUAAAAAAUAUGUUAAAAUUUUUUUAUAGCAUUAUCUAAAAUUGAUUAAAUAAAUAAAUAAAUAAAUAAAUUGUAUAUUUUUUUAUAAUGUUAAAUAAUAUGAUUAAAUAAUAUGAUCGUGCAAAUCAAAGAUAGGAAUAUUACAUUCUUAGUAAUAAGAUGAAUAGAAAUAAGAUUCUCAGACAUCUUUGUAUUCCUAGUAAUUUUUUAUAGUGCGAACCAAACGUGCCCAAAUUGUCAUCUAACAAGUUACUCAAAUUACUUAUCUAAUAAAACUCAUUGGAUGAUUAUUGAGUAACCACGGGACUAUGCGAGAAAGAUAAAACAGUAUAAUAUAUAAGGACAAGAAAGAAUGAAAAUUUUUUGAAGAGAAAAAGAAUUCGAAACAAAUAAAUAAUUUCAAUGGAGUCCGGAUGUUUUACUAUCGAUAGCACGAAAAUCUCCGUGCUACCAAAUUAUUUUGAAUGAUUCGGCUUCAAAUCGACGAUCAAUUCCACUAGACGUGAUCUACAUUAUAAAAAAUAUUUGAAAACUAGAUUUAAUAAUUUUUCGAUAUUAUUUAUCUAGUAAACAAGUAGUCUAAAAAUGAACAACUGAAAAUAAAAAUUUCAUAAAAUAUGAUGAUAAAAGACUUGAAUUCAAGAUCAGAAAUAUCGAUUUUACUCUUAAUAGUGAAAAAGAAUUUCUAUAAAAAUUUCAACAGAUUUGAAUUGUUUUACACCGUUAAAUAAAAAAAUGCAUCAUAUCGAUUAUUAAAAUUAUCAAUUUUGACACAUUUUGAUUACUAGCAAAAUAAUGUCGAAAAUUAUAAAAUUUAGUUUUUAAAUGCUUUUAAUAGUGUAAAUCAUAUCUGACAGAACCGAUCGUCUAUUUAAAAAUCACAUUAUUAAAAAUAACUUAAUAGUACCGAGGCUUUCAUACUAUUGAUAGUACAGUAACGUAGCUCAAUAGUCAUAUAUAGAAUCAGUCUCAUAGAACUUAUCAAAAAUCGAUUCAUUAUGUAACAAUGAUUAAGACUUUGAUAUACUCUUAAUAUUAAUGAUUUAUCGUGCAUUCUUUCUCCGUUAGAAGGGAUAGUUGUUUUGUUCUCAUGUGGUAGAAAAUAAUAAUCCAAAAAUAACUUUGAUAUUUCUGCAAUUCUAUGCAACACUCAGAAAAGGUACCCCCUUGCAUGUUUUCACUCCACAAGGUCCACAAAUUUAAAAAUAAGAUUAAUUUCAUACACGUCUAUAUAAAUAUAGUAAUUAUAAAUAUAUCCUUAUAAAGUUCAACUUUUAUAUAUUAUUUCUAUAAAAAUUUUAAUAUUUUCAAAUAUAUUUUUCUAGUUUGUUACCGUUAAAAUAUUUUUUAUUUUAUACGUAAAAUGAUAUUUUUGUCAUCACAAAUAUAUAUGUUUCUUCAAAAGUCUCGGCUAUUAAUUAAAAAGAAAUAAAAAUAUCAAUUCAUCUCAUUACCUAACUGGGAUUAAGUAUUUUAUCUGUGGUUAACUAAUUUUUUCUAACAGAUUCUAACUGCAUGGAUAUAUUUAAGAACAUCAGGAAUUUUGAAGCACAACAUAUAAAAGUUGAACUUUGUAGAAAUAUUUUUGUAAUUUACUAUGGUAAUAGGGACAUGUAUGAAAUUAACUUUUUAAAAUAGGGUUAAUUUUAUAUAGGUUCCUACAAACAUAGUAAAUUAUAAGUAUAUCCUAUAAAGUUCAAUUUUUAUAUGUUGUCGUCUCUCCAAAAGUUCUAAUAUUUUCAUAUAUAUCCCUGGCGUUAGGAUCCAUUAAAAAAAAAUUAGUUUACCAUAGGUAAAAUACUUAAUCCUAAUUAAUUAAUGAGAUGAAUUGACUUUUUUACCUCUCUUCAAUUAAUGUUGGGACUUUUGGAGGGAUAUAUUUAUAAUGACAAAAAAAUAAUUUCACUCAUAAUAUAAACGAUACUUUAACGAUAACAAAUCAGUGUGACAUGCUUACGAACAUCAGAAUUUUUGUAAGAACAAGAUAUGAUGAUUAAACUUUAUAGUGAUAUAUUUAUAAUUUACUAUAUUUGUAGGGAUCCAUAUAAAAUUAACCUUUUAACAAAAUAAUAAAAUUUGAGGAGUAAAAGGAAACAGGAAAAUGGGCUG
rnacentral:lncRNA from 1 species